CCUACGGGUGGCAGCAGUGGGGAAUAUUGCACAAUGGGGGAAACCCUGAUGCAGCGACGCCGCGUGAGUGAAGAAGUAUUUCGGUAUGUAAAGCUCUAUCAGCAGGGAAGAAAAUGACGGUACCUGAUGAAGAAGCCCCGGCUAACUACGUGCCAGCAGCCGCGGUAAUACGUAGGGGGCAAGCGUUAUCCGGAUUUACUGGGUGUAAAGGGAGCGUAGACGGCAGCACAAGUCUGGAGUGAAAUGGCGGGGCUUAACCCCGGAACUGCAUUGGAUACUGUGCAGCUAGAGUGCAGGUGAGGUAAGUGGAAUUCCUGGUGUAGCGGUGAAAUGCGUAGAUAUUAGGAGGAACACCAGUUGCGAAGGCAGCUUACUGGACUGUAACUGACGUUGAGGCUCGAAAGCGUGGGGAGCAAACAGGAUUAGAUACCCGUGUAGUC
rnacentral:rRNA from 1 species